UACGUAGGGUGCGAGCGUUAAUCGGAAUUACUGGGCGUAAAGGGUGCGCAGGCGGCUCCGCAUGUCGGGCGUGAAAUCCCCGGGCUUAACCUGGGAAUUGCGUCCGAAACUAUGGAGCUGGAGUGUGGCAGAGGGAGGUGGAAUUCCACGUGUAGCGGUGAAAUGCGUAGAGAUGUGGAGGGACACCGAUGGCGAAGGCAGCCUCCUGGGCCAACACUGACGCUCAUGCACGAAAGCGUGGGGAGCAAACAGG
rnacentral:rRNA from 1 species